AACGAACGCUGGCGGCAUGCCUAACACAUGCAAGUCGAACGAGACCUUCGGGUCUAGUGGCGCACGGGUGCGUAACGCGUGGGAACCUGCCCUUAGGUUCGGAAUAACUCCCCGAAAGGGGUGCUAAUACCGGAUAAUGUCUUCGGACCAAAGAUUUAUCGCCUUUGGAUGGGCCCGCGUUGGAUUAGCUAGUUGGUAGGGUAAAAGCCUACCAAGGCGACGAUCCAUAGCUGGUCUGAGAGGAUGAUCAGCCACACUGGGACUGAGACACGGCCCAGACUCCUACGGGAGGCAGCAGUGGGGAAUAUUGGACGAGGGGCGAAAGCCUGAUACAGCAAUGCCGCGUGAGUGAGGAAGGCCUUAGGGUUGUAAAGCUCUUUUACCCGGGAUGAUAAUGACGGUACCGGGAGAAUAAGCUCCGGCUAACUACGUG
rnacentral:rRNA from 1 species